rnacentral:lncRNA from 1 species
UGUAUCAACAUAUGAUAAAAUAGAGCAUUUUAAAAACAAGUUUUUGAAAAGAUUAAGAAUUUAUAAAAAGCUCUAAGAAGGAAACUUCAAAUACGGAUCUCAAUCACAAGCAAGGGUAAUGAGGACCCAGUGACCAUGAAGAGGCUCCAGAACUUCAUGACCUUCUGUUAUGAAAAGUUACUUAUAGUACUAUCUGUGCUCAACAGAAAAGUGCCUACUGAAGAUUUCAUCUGGAUUUGCACAACACCAUGACUUAAAGAUUAUCCUAUGUGCCAGAUAGCUGUGUAUUCACAGUCAUCUAUUUUCUCGUGCUCCUGGGCUCGCAGAGAGACAUUGCUCGCCCUUAAGUGUUGUUAUAUAACUGAGGUCUAGUAAAUGGAAUGCAAAAGAGUUAUAUGCCACUUUCAGUCUAGUCCAAGCCUGUCCAACCCAUAGCCUGCAUGUGGGCUGCAUGUGGCCCAGGACAGCUUUGAAUGUGGCCAAACACAAAUUCGUGAACUCUCUGGAAACAUUAUGAGAUUUUUUUUUUUUUGCAAUUUUUUUUUCUUUUUCAGCUCAUCAACUAUCGUUAGUGUAUUUUAUGUUUUGUCCAAGACAAUUUUUCUUCUACCAGUGUGGCCUAGGGAAGCUAAAAGACUGGACACCCUGGUCUAGCCCAUAAGGGCAACUGCAUGAUCUUCUCUGCUCUCUCUCUUCCUCUGUCAGUCCUCUAAUGUCAAAGAAUUCAGCCAAGGACUGGGAGUUCUGAGGAGAUGGUGGGACUACAGAACAUAAACAGCCCCUCUUCCUCUCACUCAUUGGACUUCAUGUGAGCAAGAAAUAAACUUUUAUCGUGUUAAUCUACUUAUACUUCGAGGUUGUCCCUAAACGAAUGCAGAAUGAUCAAAAGUAUCAGGUUACAGAUGAUAGUUUUAAAGGCUGAAACAGAACCAGAGAUUGUCGAAACCAGGCAUUUACCUGACAGAUCUGCGUGCAACCCGUGCAGCACAUCACCACCUUCCUGCAAUACACAACAAGCAGGAAGGAGAGUCAUGCCCUCUCCACCAUCUGUCCAGGACUUUAGGAUCAACAUCUCUUCAGGCUGAGCUCUCCAAACUUAAAAAAGACACAUGCCUCUUAAUAAAAAUAAUCUAAAAUCUGUUUUACAGAUGAAAAACUGGAGGCUUGGAGAGUUCAAAUGAUUUGUCCAAGAUCACUGAUUUACUUAAUCAUUAAAUCAGGACUAUAGACAAAGUCCCCUAACUUGUAGUCCUGGUGAUUCAUAUUUACAGGGCAUUAAAAGCAGCUCUGUUCUGAAGUACAUUGGGAUAAUUAUCAGGUAUAAAGUUCUGGAUUGUAGGCAAGUGAGUAUCUGUGGCAGAUUAAAAAUGAGUAAGUCCUAUUGGCUUCUACUCUCCAAGAUUUUCCCUCUCCUUUUCUCCUCUCUAUUCACCCUAUAGUGCAUUUCUCUUCUCAGUGACAGUAUUAGUGAAAAUCCUUAGGAUUUCAUCAAUUUAC